AAAAAAAAAAAAAGCAGUGCAUGUUGCCUCUUCUAUUCAGGCUGUGACCAAAGGUUUCAAUGGUAAAGAUGACUCAUACCUUAAAGAACUAGAAGAAUUUUUUUGUGGCUUCUCUAUCCAUUGUCUUGCUCUCAUAAAACUGCUGAAUGACACCCAAGUGUAAAACCCACCAAAGAAAUAAGCGCUGGAUGACAUGUGGCAGAUUUUCCAACUCUCCAGGAAAAACUUCAGAUCAACUUGUUUCUCUGGAAACUACUCACAUCCGGGGGCUGUCCCUGUCCCCUGGGACUCAUAAACGUUCCUAUCUUCAAGGCACAGGCACUGGCCUAAAACAUGAAAGGUAUUCAGUAAAUGGAUACUUACCAUGACAGGAUCUAACCACUGGUGAGUUGCACAAUCUGUUACUGUGUCGUAGUCUGGAAACUCAUUACAGAAACUUGAUUGGCUUCUGCAGUCACUAUUGUAAGGUCU
rnacentral:lncRNA from 1 species